rnacentral:rRNA from 1 species
GACGAGGGUCCUAGCGUUGUUCGGAAUUACUGGGCGUAAAGCGCAUGUAGGCGGCUUGAUAAGUCGGGUGUGAAAUCCCUGGGCUCAACCCAGGACGUGCACUCGAUACUGCCAAGCUUGAGUAUGGGAGAGGGUAGUAGAAUUCCUGGUGUAGUGGUGAAAUACGUAGAUAUCAGGAGGAAUACCGGUGGCGAAGGCGGCUGCCUGGCCCAAUACUGACGUUGAGAUGCGAAAGCGUGGGGAGCAAACAGG